GAAGUGCCUCACUCUACAAAUCCAAAGCUUUCUUUGUUUUCUACUUUAACUUCCUCCGUUAUGCUUCUUUGUCCUUCCUAUCCAAAUGUUUUUGUUUUUUUUUCAAGUUACUGUGACCUCUGUUUUUCAUUCUAUCAUAGCAUCUUGAAAGAUGAUUCUGCAACCUAAUUUUCUUGUGAACAAAGGCAUACUGUUGAAGUGUUCUUUCGUCUUGCAUGGUUCUUUUUUUUAAUCAUUUCAAUCCAAGUCUGAGUAAUACUGUAAAUAUGAAGAAAUAUUUAUCAUAAUAAUCUCCUAAAAUUUUCCUAGUAACUAUUGAGCAUUCUGCUGAAACUUACUUGAGUCAUUUGUAAAUUAACACGUGAAUAUAUUUUAAACACUGAGUGUGGAUUUUAGAGCCACGCGCAAAUACAACCUUUAUAAGGAUUGAGAGAUACCAAACAAAAUGCAAUCACAUCAUUCAUGACCAAAUGAAACACAGUGUAAUAAAUGAGUAGAUGCCUACUACUACAGGUCAGCCUGCUCCUUGGACUCUUACCAGAUUGUGCUGUUUGCACGCAGUCCACUGAGCUUGAUAUAUGUUAAGAUUCUGUAGUAUAAAGAGACUGCAGGUGCUUGUAUUUGUACUGUGAGGCAAGGAACUGAAAUUGUUCCACUUUUGAAGUUCUGAAUGGUAGAAAGAGCAAAAGAUGAACAUCAAGACAUUUCACUGUAGUUGCUGAAUAUUCAUGAGGAGGACAGUCUCAUUCUGACUGUAGCCAGUGAAUAAUUCUGUAGCACAUCUCUAGCUAUUUGACAUUAGAGAGAAGGUCUGAUAGGAUAAAAAGUGGCAGGAAAGUAUUAUGACAAAGAAAUAAUAAGAACAACAAAUGCUUACAGUACUUAUGGAGUAAUGAUUCGUUCUUACUGAGAUAUUUCACAGUCAGUUUCAGGAGAACUUUCUAACCAGAUACACACCUUCUGUUUCUUUGCCUCCUUCCCUUUCUCUCCCUUCUUUGCAUGGCAAUGAAAGGAACUCUUUCUAUUCUUUUCCCACCUCAGUAUGUGCUGUUCUGAAGGUUUCCAAUGCAUUGUUCACAGGGCUGUGCUUUUCAGAAUUUCUUCUGCCAAAAUUGAAGCUUUGCAGAACAGACACGUACCAGCCUGGAAACAUCUGCUGCCUCUGAACAAAAUGUCAGACUCUGGAUGCAAUCCUAUCUGGCCUGCAUAGCUUGCCCAAGAUACUGCAAGUCUAUUUCAGACAGUAACAACAAUUCCUAGACCUUUUUCCAGGUCUCACCCUUGUGAUCUUGUUUAGCUCUGUGGUUAGGAACCUCUACUGAUUCAAAAGGUUAUUCCAAUGAGAUUGCAAAACUGUGAAGAAUUCUAAGGUCUACUUUUCAGAGACCUUUAUAAAAUGCUCCCUCCCAGUUUUUACCUUGGUUCUAGUUGUAAGAGAGAACAUCUGAGGAGAUGGAGAGGAAUGCAGGUAACUAGGUAAAUGAGUCUGAUCAAAACCGUGUCUGCAAGAAGCUCUAAACUGCCAGUAGUUCUGCAGUUUCAGUUUUACUUGUGUGUCUGUCAGCAUAACAGAGUAUCUUGAACAUUGAAGGGAGCAAAAGAAAAUAAAUGCUUACUCUAGCAUUAAGAGAUUGAUCCUUAACUACUGGGCUGAAAGCCUCUUAAAAGGGGCUAAAGCCUUCAGCUCCUUUUGAUUUGAUUACAUGCACUAAUCAUCUGUUCCAACUUAAGUCAUGGUGAGAGAUCUGGGUGCAAAUGCUUCACAGGCUGUUCUCUAUUGCUCUGCUCACAGCCGCAGUAAGGUCAAGCAGAGAGGUGAGACCAGUGCUACUUGGGAAUGUAGUUAGCUGUCAGUUAACUAACCAGUAGUUGCUGCUGGCACCUUUAGUCAGUGGCAGGUCUGCAGGAAGUGACCAAAUCUCGGUAUGGCGUAACACCAAAACAGCCUGCAGUGGUUCUGCCAUAACCCUGGUUAGUAAUGCAGGCAGUUACACUGGGAAAAUAUGAAUUCUAAGCUCCUCAGAGAUGUCUUGAAUGAAGACCUCCAGUUAAAGCUGCUUCAAGCUUGCACAUCUGGAAAAUAUUUGUUUUUAAUCCUUAAGAAAACUCUGUAGUUUGUGAAAACGUGGAUUAUGGAAGAGUUCUGUCUGCUCUUCACUUGAAUUGCUGGGUUUAAGCACCUUCUGAACUGAAUUAGUGUGUUUUGAAUCUGUUAGCUUUGGCCCUUGGAUGCUCUCCACUGAAAUGCAUUCACUGUAAUUGAAUACUAAUAAAUGCUAUCACACUAGAAAACUUUA